rnacentral:rRNA from 1 species
CCUACGGGUGGCAGCAGUGAGGAAUAUUGGUCAAUGGGCGGAAGCCUGAACCAGCCAAGUCGCGUGAGGGAUUAAGGCCCUGCGGGUCGUAAACCUCUUUUGUCGGGGAGCAGUGGUCCGGACGCGUCCGGACCGGGAGAGUACCCGGAGAAAAAGCAUCGGCUAACUCCGUGCCAGCAGCCGCGGUAAUACGGAGGAUGCGAGCGUUAUCUGGAUUUAUUGGGUUUAAAGGGUGCGUAGGCGGGCAUUGAAGCCGGCGGUCAAAUGUCGGGGCUAAACCGCGGCCUGCCGUUGGAACUGGGUGCCUAGAGUGGGCGAGAGGUAUGCGGAAUGCGUGGUGUAGCGGUGAAAUGCAUAGAUA